rfam:Photorhabdus luminescens subsp. laumondii TTO1 complete genome
AUUUCUCUGAGAUGUUCGUUAACGGGGAAAGUCCCCUGAGCCGAUAUUUCAUACAUUAUAGAAUGUGGUGCUCCGUAGUCUGGUGUGCAUGCUCGGUCCAGCCGAGAAGCCUUAAAGCUGCGACGCUGCGUUCACCUUGAACCGAGGGUUCAAGGGUUACUACCUGUAACGGCAUCUUGGAGAAUCU